UUAGGUCGACCCGCUGAAUUUAAGCAUAUCACUAAGCGGAGGAAAAGAAACUAACAAGGAUUCCCUCAGUAACUGCGAGUGAACAGGGAAGAGCCCAGCACCGAAGCCUGUGGUCAGUUGGCCAUUAGGCAAUGUGGUGUUUAGGUCGUUCCGCAGAAACACUGCUCCACCCCAAGUCCAUUAAUGGGUACGGUAGUACAGACAUGGCCCACGGAGGGUGAAAGGCCCGUUCGGGUGGAGAUUCGGCAGGCCAGUGUUUCUCUGGGUAGACCUUGGAGUCGGGUUGUUUGUGAAUGCAGCCCAAAGCGGGUGGUAAACUCCAUCCAAGGCUAAAUACAAGCACGAGUCCGAUAGCGAACAAGUACCGUGAGGGAAAGUUGAAAAGUACUUUGAAGAGAGAGUUAACAGUGCGUGAAACCGCUCAGAGGUAAGCAGGUGGAGUUGAACUGCAAGCCUUGAGAAUUCAGCUGGUGAGGGUGGUUUGGUCUUGGUCAAGUUGGUUGGGCCCUGAGGUACGUUCAAUUACGUGUCCUUUCCCUCGGGUUGGGAUGUGCGAUACACUUAUCAAGUGUUGCGCGCCUUGGGUGUUCAUCGAGCUUCCUUGCCAGUGCACUUUCUCAAGGUGGUCACCACGACCGGCGCUGCUGUCAGACUGUUGCGGUUAAACCGGCCUUGCGAUGCCCUUGUGGUAUUACCUGGUCGGGAUGGCAGGUAGCUCGUUAGCUUGCGUUUGCUUGCUUUCGAGUGUAAUCAGCUGACCGUGAUGGUUCUGUGCGGUGCGUCGGAGACGGCGGCUAGUGGUGUGUGCAUGCGUGCCCGAUUUGCUGGCGUAUCCCGGUUUGGUUUCUGUGUUGCCUGUGUUAGCAGGCCCAGUUAUGGCUGGGGUUCGUUCAGUGAAUGGUUGCGUGUGUGACACUUCCAAGGGCCAAUAGUCUGUGGUGUAGUGGUAGACUAUCCACCUGACCCGUCUUGAAACACGGACCAAGGAGAGUAACAUGUACGCGAGUCAUUGGGCGU
rnacentral:rRNA from 1 species